rfam:TPA: Bos taurus chromosome 13, whole genome shotgun sequence.
CCAUGGUGGUGGCUGGGGACAGCCACAUGGUGGUGGAGGCUGG